rnacentral:rRNA from 1 species
UACGGAGGGAGCUAGCGUUGUUCGGAAUUACUGGGCGUAAAGCGCACGUAGGCGGCUCUGUAAGUUAGAGGUGAAAGCCCGGGGCUCAACCCCGGAAUUGCCUUUAAGACUGCAUCGCUUGAAUCCGGGAGAGGUGAGUGGAAUUCCGAGUGUAGAGGUGAAAUUCGUAGAUAUUCGGAAGAACACCAGUGGCGAAGGCGGCUCACUGGACCGGCAUUGACGCUGAGGUGCGAAAGCGUGGGGAGCAAACGGG